rnacentral:tRNA from 1 species
AUCUAGAUAGCUUAAAAAUAAAGCAUAACACUGAAGCUGUUAAGAUAAGAUAACUCUUUCUAGAUA